AAGGAACUGACUUUUUGGAGGCUGAGAUCUAGCAACAUCCCGGAACUGAUACAAAAUAAAUUAUUUAGGGGGCUACGAGAGGAGCAAUUUACAAAGUGAUAAAGGACCCCAAGUAUAUGACCAGCAAGCCCAAGGCUUCGGGGUUUCCCGGAGAGAGCCUGGGGGAUCUGCACUGAGUCUCUGAAGGACUACUAGGACAGACCUGACCAAAAGUCUCACUCACUGAGCUCUCCGACCACCCUGGGGUGUCCACACACGGUUCCUCCCAUGAGAGCAGCAACUUGUUCAGAGAGCUCUUCAUAUCACCUUGGGUUCUGGAAACCAAACAAGUCCUCUGCAAGAACAGCCAGUGCUCCUAACAGGAAUGGGUCAUUUUCAUGAGGCCACUGGCAGAUUCCUCUUCGGCCGUUGUAAUCAUGGGGCUGCUUUGCCUGUGGCUUCCUGCACUCAGAAGCACUCCACAUUGCACAGUCUCAAAACAGUUUCGCUUUCAA
rnacentral:lncRNA from 1 species